GUACUGCUGAGGAGUCCCAUAAUAGGACGAAACGGCCGUCCAGUAC
rnacentral:hammerhead_ribozyme from 1 species